CAACUCAUUUUAUGUUUUGUUUUUUUACAGGUCUUUGUGAAUCCAACCACCUUUUGAUAUCGAAAAUACGAUAAAGCCAACGGCCCUUUUUAGGGCCACUUUGUUAUUCUUUGUUACAAACAUUUCUUUUGUGGUGUUAUUGUUGUUGUGUUUUUUGUUUGUUUGUUUUGUCUAACAAUGUCUUCUGAGCACUCUAGACUGCAGGAAUUGCUGAGGGCGGGGAAUGACUUGGCAGAUGAGUUUGCAGCCAGAAGACCUUCGAAGCCAAGAAACCGACGGGGGACUGGAGGCUCCAAUGUUACGUGGAGGAAGAGGGACCAGGAUGGGAACAUCGUACCCCAAAAUUUUCGGAGGAGUCGAUCUGUUCAGUCUGUCGCCCCAAGGGAACCCCCUUGGGUGGAUGAGUCGCAGACGGCUGAUAUUUCUCAGGAUGUCCCAAGUCUUGAUCAACAUCUUCAGGCACUCAGAAAUCUGCUGAGUUCUGUCAUUGUCCCUGCAUCGGCAGAAGAGGAGCAGACACCCACCAUGUCUGCAUGGAGCAGAAGACAAUCCAUCUGCGAAAGAAAAUUCAGGGCUGCAAUGCCAGAGCUUCUGAAUUCAAUGUUGGCAGCAGAGACUGUGAACAGGCAUUGUUGUCAGCAAUGCCAAACUGUUGAUGCUGUGGUCCGGUGCCUCGACUGUGUUGCCUCAGGAACUCAGUUUCUCUGUUCAGCAUGUGACGUGACUAUCCACAGGAAAAACAUCUUCCAUGACAGAGAGGCCAUGAUUGAUGGUUUUUUCGAACCCAUUCCCCCCACAUCCUUUGUGGUGGUGGGUGAAGGUGGCCAACAUCAACUUGGUGAACAAGUGUGCCUUCUUCCGAUUCCUCCACCAACCCAAAUCUGCUCCUGUGGUCCAAACCAAGACUUCUCCAUUCUCCCUGGAAAGCAGACUGUCUUGGUGACUAUCAACGGUCCAUACAAAUUGUGCUUGCCUGCUGUGUGCUGUCCAAGUUGUUCUUGCAAAUGGACUCCAGGAACAAGUGACUUGCUUGGAUGCAGAUACUGGCCAGCAACCACCAGCUGCCAACUCCUGUACAAGUUUGAUGUCUUCACAUCAUUUGAGCAGAUGAAGUUAUCCAGCCCAGCUGUCUCAACAAGCAUUUCUCAAAAUGCUUGAACAUCGAUCCCUUCGCACAGGAAGGACGGGCCGUAUCUGUGGCGAUACCUUCCACAGAGUCUUUCGUGAGUUUGCUUUCUGCAAUUUAAAAAAAAAAGACCUCUGCCUGGUUGAGCCCUUCCAAUGUCCAGCAUGCACACCAGACAUGCUGGCUAUAUCUGUGGAUGGUAAUCGAAAGCAUUACCGCUUCAAUAAGUCCAAGGGGACUGAUGAACCAUCUCUUUUUGAAGGACGGUUCAUUGCUGAUGAUACUAAAGUUUCUGCCUUUGUAGACCAGAUCAGAAGCCAGAUGUUGAGUAGGACUGGUCGUGAUGUCUGUGGGCCAGCAUCAUUUACAGCAGGCAGGGAAACGUCCCAGAAGUCAAGGGCCAAGGUGGAUGAAGAGGGCCUGCGCAUAGCUGUGUGCAGGCAUGGAAUGUUGCUGCAGGGCCUGAACCACUACCGUGGGGAAGUCUAUGCAUACCCCAUGUUCCUGCAGAAGGAGCUGGCUCAAGCCACAAAUGCAACAUUCUUUUGCAUGGACCUUACUUGCAGGUAUUGGCCAUAUUUGGAGAAGAUGGCAGAAAAGUUGCCUCAGCUCCGACACCUUACAGAGAUGAAGCCAUUUCUCUCUGUAAUGCAUGCCAAGGCUCACACUGGCAAAUGUGAGGUGAGGUGGGGGGGCAGAAGUCAGGAUGGUGCAGGAAACACUGUUGGAGAGGAGGUAGAGCAAGUUAACAGUUUCCUGUCAAGAGCAGCUCUCACAACAAAGUACAUGACCAAGUCAGGCAGAUCAGAUAUGCUAACAGUGCUUGUUUGGAACCAAAGGAAGGUGGACGGUCUCCACAAGACACUAACAAAAAGAUUUGUAAAAAGUACACAGAGGGCAGAAGUGGAAGAAGCCAACCUUGACAGUCUCAAGCAGGAACUCAACAUCUCACUGCAGGACACUGAGCAGUGGGUGUUGGAUGUGAAGCAAUGGGCUGCCACAGAAAGAACUGGUGCUCAUAAUAUUCAGGAAGAGCUCCGGAGAGAAAUUGAUGAAAUAAUCUACUCUCUCCGAAAGAAAAAGCAUGACCUCAAUCGACAAAAUGACAGCAACCAGACAAGACAGAGGAAGAGAAGGAGGAUUGGAGAGCAGAAGAAGAAGCUCCAAGAGAAGAUCCUGCUCGAUCCUACAUAACGGAUCGCUAGAUAACACUUGUUUUUACUUUAUAUUUGUAUUGCAUUUAAUUGUUUAAUCAAAUGUAGCUAGUACACUGAAUGUUUAAAGUGUAUCAUAGUCUACCUAGCUUGUGUUAAUUUAAUUUCAUAAAUUUAAUUUAUCAGACAGACAGACAGACAGACAGACAGACAGACAGACAGACAGACAGACAGACAGACAGACAGACUCCCUCCUUCCCUCCCUCCCUCCCUCCCUCCCAGAGGCGGAGUGGCCGUCGGGAAAAUCGGGAGAUGACCCGGCCGGCCUGCGAGGUCAGGUGGACCGGCCCACAAUUGUGUAGCGGCCUGCGAAAUCAGUUGGACUGGCCCACAGUUGAGAGCGGCCGCGAGGCGUCUGCAAGCCGGCCCUGAGCAUAAUUUAUUCCUGUCAAGACGCCGUGAAAUUCCCCGAAAUAAACAAUAUAUGUCUCGGGAACAUCCAACCAAUAUUUAUACCACUUGCUUACUCUCUAUGUCUCAUUCAUUACUUCAUUUAAUUCUUCAUUAUUCAGGCGUUACAGAACUUUCACGGCCAUAAAUAAAUAACACGAAC
ensembl:lncRNA